GGUUCAGGAUGAACGCUAGCUACAGGCUUAACACAUGCAAGUCGAGGGGCAGCAUGAUCUUAGCUUGCUAAGAUUGAUGGCGACCGGCGCACGGGUGAGUAACGCGUAUCCAACCUUCCCUAUAGUAGGGGAUAGCCCGUAGAAAUGCGGAUUAAUACCCUAUGUUGUAUUUUGAGGACAUCUGACGAAUACCAAAGGUUCACCGCUAUAGGAUGGGGAUGCGUCUGAUUAGGUAGUCGGCGGGGUAACGGCCCACCGAGCCAACGAUCAGUAGGGGUUCUGAGAGGAAGGUCCCCCACAUUGGAACUGAGACACGGUCCAAACUCCUACGGGAGGCAGCAGUGAGGAAUAUUGGUCAAUGGGCGCGAGCCUGAACCAGCCAAGUAGCGUGCAGGAAAGACUGCCCUAUGGGUUGUAAACUGCUUUUAUGCGGGAAUAAAGUCAGGUACGUGUACCUGUUUGUAUGUACCGCAUGAAUAAGGACCGGCUAAUUCCGUGCCAGCAGCUGC
rnacentral:rRNA from 1 species